rnacentral:rRNA from 1 species
AGUGAACGCUGGCGGCAGGCCUAACACAUGCAAGUCGAGCGGCAGCGCGGGGGCAACCCUGGCGGCGAGCGGCGGACGGGUGAGGAAUGCAUCGGAAUCUACCUCGUUGUGGGGGAUAACCUCGGGAAACCGGGACUAAUACCGCAUACGACCUACGGGUGAAAGUGGGGGACCUUCGGGCCUCACGCGAUGAGAUGAGCCGAUGCCGGAUUAGCUAGUUGGCGGGGUAAAGGCCCACCAAGGCGACGAUCCGUAGCUGGUCUGAGAGGAUGAUCAGCCACACUGGAACUGAGACACGGUCCAGACUCCUACGGGAGGCAGCAGUGGGGAAUAUUGGACAAUGGGCGCAAGCCUGAUCCAGCCAUGCCGCGUGUGUGAAGAAGGCCUCGGUU